CUUACCUUAGUUUAACAAGAAUAUUGGUUUUGGGGAUCAAUGGUCUCAUUUGAGAGGUUUGG
rnacentral:tRNA from 4 species